rnacentral:rRNA from 1 species
AACGAACGCUGGCGGCAGGCUUAACACAUGCAAGUCGAACGCACCGCAAGGUGAGUGGCAGACGGGUGAGUAACACGUGGGGAUCUGCCCAAUGGUACGGAAUAGCUCCGGGAAACUGGAAUUAAUACCGUAUGAGCCCGCCAGGGGAAAGAUUUAUCGCCAUUGGAUGAACCCGCGUCGGAUUAGCUAGUUGGUGUGGUAAAGGCGCACCAAGGCGACGAUCCGUAGCUGGUCUGAGAGGAUGAUCAGCCACACUGGGACUGAGACACGGCCCGGACGCCUACGGGAGGCAGAAUUGGGGAAUAUUGGACAAGGGGGGCAAGCCUGAGCCAGCCAUGCCGCGUUAGUGAUGAAGGCCUUAGGGUUGUAAAGCUCUUUCGCCGACGAAGAUAAUGACGGUAGUCGGAGAAGAAGCCCCGGCUAACUUCGUGCCAGCAGCCGCGGUAAGAC